AGUAGGGGCGCACGCUCCUCCAGGGUAGGAUUAGUCACGAUCCCACUCGGUCGUAAAGUUUCAAAGAUUGCAGACAGACGCUACAGUUUCCUCCCAAUCGAUUCUGGCGAGAGACUCGAUCUGAAUUCGAUAGAUAAAAACGACAAAAGAAUUUCCUUUAGGGAAAUAAAAUCGAGACACGAUUGUAAUUUUUUCUUUUCUCGAUAAAUGUGUAGAAAUGGAUUUCAGGCGAUUAUAAUGAAAAAAAGGAAAUGAAAAGAUACUAAAAUAUUAAUAAAAAUUUAAUACAUAUAAAACUUUACCUGACGCAUAUAAUUUUUUAUUCUUCGUAUUACGUUAUAAAAUGGUUAUAAAUUCACCAUUUUACUACUCAUUGUUCACUUUCUUUUAUACUUUUCUUUUUAAAAAGAUAUAUGCUAAAGAUAUUUGCUAAAAAUAUACAAUUAUAUUUAAUGAAUAUAAAAUUGGUUAAUAGAUCGAGUACUUUUGUUUGAAAUUAACGAGUUUGCAGGGUGCUUGAGUUUACGCAUCCAGCUCUGUAUCUCUUAUCGAAUAAAAUUACGCGCUCCUUUAAGCAGGGCUGGCACUAUUCGCCAAAUUACCUCUGAAAAAUAUUUAUCAACUGACAAUUAAUGCUUUAACGUUAGAUAAUUUUUUUUAUUAAUAUCUCAUUUUUCUUUUCUUUUCUUAUUGGAUUAUGACAAUUAGUCGUUAUUAGAACUUUCUCAAACAAGACUGAUUUCUUUGCUUCGUCCCACCAACAUGGCGUCACCCUUAAGGCUGUAGUGGCGCCAAGCAUUGCUUGCGAUCGAUGCGCUCAUGAACCAGUGAAAAUAUAUAUAUCCUACACAAUAAAUAACAUUAUUAAACAAAUAACAACGUUCGAUUAACAAAAUUAAAAUUAUAUUUUGUCCUAUUGAACCACUUUACCUUAAUUGCAAAUAAUUUAUUUCAAUCUUGAAACUAUUCUUUGACCAAUUAAAUUUUUGAACAAAGAACUUCGUGCUCAAUUUUUUACAUUUAUAUGACGAACUUAACGAAUGAAUUCAUUAAUUCAAUCUGCAUAAUCAUUUUUAUCCUUCGAUAACAAUAAUAUUCCAUAAGACGCAAAACCAAAUAAUAGUUCAAUCUGUAAUGUUAAUUAUUCUUAAUUUAUGAUCGAUGAUCGAUAACAGGGAAAUAGGGGUUGUCUCAUAUAAAGAUUUUAUUUCGUUAGUACGUACACAUUUGCGCCAGCACAAAAAAGGAUCGUAUCAUAUAAAAUGAGAACAAUGCAGUUUCCUUUUCCGAGACUAGACACAAUAUAGAGGGCGUGGGGACUCAGGGUUAUUGCGUUUAUACCCUUCGUUUUUUUUCAUGAUUACUUGCCGUAUA